rnacentral:rRNA from 1 species
GAUGAACGCUAGCGGCAGGCCUAAUACAUGCAAGUCGAACGGGAUUGAGGAGCUUGCUCCUCAUGAGAGUGGCGCACGGGUGCGUAACACGUAUGUAACCUACCUUAAUCAGGGGGAUAGCCUCUCGAAAGAGAGAUUAACACCGCAUAAAAUCACACUAUGGCAUCAUAGAAUGAUCAAAUAUUUAUAGGAUUAAGAUGGGCAUGCGGAACAUUAGCUAGUUGGUAAGGUAACGGCUUACCAAGGCUACGAUGUUUAGGGGAUCUGAGAGGAUGGCCCCCCACACUGGUACUGAGACACGGACCAGACUCCUACGGGAGGCAGCAGUAAGGAAUAUUGGUCAAUGGACGGAAGUCUGAACCAGCCAUGCCGCGUGCAGGAAGACGGCCCUACGGGUUGUAAACUGCUUUUGUACCGGAAUAAACCUCUUUACGUGUAAGGAGCUGAAUGUACGGUAAGAAUAAGGAUCGGCUAACUCCGUGCCAGCCGCCGCGGUAA